rnacentral:rRNA from 1 species
UACGUAGGGGGCUAGCGUUGUCCGGAUUUAUUGGGCGUAAAGAGCGUGUAGGCGGCCAGGUAGGUCUGCUGUGAAAACUCGAGGCUCAACCUCGAGACGUCGGCGGAAACCAUCUGGCUAGAGUCCGGAAGAGGAGAGUGGAAUUCCUGGUGUAGCGGUGAAAUGCGCAGAUAUCAGGAAGAACACCCAUGGCGAAAGCAGCUCUCUGGGACGGUACUGACGCUGAGACGCGAAAGCGUGGGGAGCGAACAGG